GAUGAACGCUGGCGGCGUGCCUAAUACAUGCAAGUCGAACGCUGGAGCUCUAGCUUGCUAGAUCGAAGGAGUGGCGAACGGGUGAGUAAUACAUAAGCAACCUACCCACGAAGACUGGGAUAAUCUCUGGAAACGGGGACUAAUACCGGAUAGGUAAUCGGAAGGCAUCUUCUGGUUAUUAAAGGUUAAAAACACUGGUGGAUGGGCUUAUGGCGCAUUAGUUAGUUGGUGAGGUAACGGCCCACCAGGACGAUGAUGCGUAGCCGGCCUGAGAGGGUGAACGGCCACAUUGGGACUGAGACACGGCCCAGACUCCUACGGGAGGCAGCAGUAGGGAAUUUUCGGCAAUGGGGGCAACCCUGACCGAGCAACGCCGCGUGAGUGAAGACGGCCUUCGGGUUGUAAAGCUCUGUUGUAAGGGAAGAACGGUAGAUAGAGAAUAUCUAAGUGACGGUACCUUACCAGAAAGCCACGGCUAACUACGUG
rnacentral:rRNA from 1 species